rnacentral:sRNA from 2 species
CGCCUCGUCCUGAGGGAGUAGCCGCUCUGCAUUACUGACAGAGGCUUGCGUCAACACACUUGGUUCGCCGGGCAAUCCGGCAGCACCAUGGCGCAAACAGCCGCAAGGCCUGGCAAGACUCAUGAUUUUCCGGUGCGUAGCGG